GAUGAACGCUGGCGGCGUGCCUAAUACAUGCAAGUCGAGCGAACAGACGAGGAGCUUGCUCCUCUGACGUUAGCGGCGGGCGGGUGAGUAACACGUGGAUAACCUACCUAUAAGACUGGGAUAACUUCGGGAAACCGGAGCUAAUACCGGAUAAUAUAUUGAACCGCAUGGUUCAAUAGUGAAAGACGGUUUUGCUGUCACUUAUAGAUGGAUCCGCGCCGCAUUAGCUAGUUGGUAAGGUAACGGCUUACCAAGGCAACGAUGCGUAGCCGACCUGAGAGGGUGAUCGGCCACACUGGAACUGAGACACGGUCCAGACUCCUACGGGAGGCCGCAGUAGGGAAUCUUCCGCAAUGGGCGAAAGCCUGACGGAGCAACGCCGCGUGAGUGAUGAAGGUCUUCGGAUCGUAAAACUCUGUUAUUAGGGAAGAACAAAUGUGUAAGUAACUAUGCACGUCUUGACGGUACCUAAUCAGAAAGCCACGGCUAACUACGUG
rnacentral:rRNA from 1 species